UACGUAGGGUGCAAGCGUUGUCCGGAAUUAUUGGGCGUAAAGAGCGUGUAGGCGGUUUGUCGCGUCUGCUGUGAAAUUUCGGGGCUCAACCCCGAACUUGCAGUGGGUACGGGCAGACUAGAGUGUGGUAGGGGAGACUGGAAUUCCUGGUGUAGCGGUGAAAUGCGCAGAUAUCAGGAGGAACACCGAUGGCGAAGGCAGGUCUCUGGGCCAUAACUGACGCUGAGAAGCGAAAGCAUGGGGAGCGAACAGG
rnacentral:rRNA from 1 species